rnacentral:RNase_P_RNA from 1 species
CCGGAUGCGUGGAAGGCCGCUCCUCGCUCGAUGCGGGCGGGGGGAGGAAAGUCCGAGCGCCUCUGAACCGCGGUGGUGGGUAACGCCCACCGUCCUGCUGGGCCCGAUCCGUCGGGUUCACCUGGGACCGGGACAGUGCCACAGAAAAGAUACCGCCCUGCGUAGUCGGCCUCACGGCGGACGAAGCAGGGUAAGGGUGAAAUGGUGCGGUAAGAGCGCACCGCGGGCCGGGUGACCGGCCUGGCAUGGCAAACCCCACCGGGCGCAAGGCCAAGCAGCGACGUGGCGUGGUUCAGGCCGUCCGCCUUCGGGCGGACACCGUCGCGGGUAGGCCGCUUCUGCCGGCGCACGCGUCGGCGGAGAGCCCGGCGGCAACGUCGGGUCCAGAUAAAUGGCCUUCCCCGUCUCGCCGGUGACCCGCCGGCGAGUCGGGACAGAACUCGGCUUACAGCGCAUCCGGCCGG